UACGUAGGGAGCAAGCGUUGUCCGGAAUCAUUGGGCGUAAAGCGCGCGUAGGUGGCCCCAUAAGUCCGCUGUGAAAGUCAAAGGCUCAACCUUUGAAAGCCGGUGGAUACUGUGGGACUAGAGUACGGAAGAGGCGAGUGGAAUUCCUGGUGUAGCGGUGGAAUGCGCAGAUAUCAGGAGGAACACCAAUAGCGAAGGCAGCUCGCUGGGACGUUACUGACACUGAGGCACGAAAGCGUGGGGAGCAAACAGG
rnacentral:rRNA from 1 species